rnacentral:lncRNA from 1 species
UGGUGUGGACGAUAGGCAUAGCCGAAAUAAAGCUGCGUUUUCAAACUGUGAUUUCUCCGGCGUAGUGAGGAAGGAGUCACAGAUGCCAUCUUAGCUGCCGAUUCCAGACCCACGCCUCUCACUACCAACCCCUCUGCCACGUCUCCUCCACGCUUGUUUAACUUGGUACGUGAUAGAAUUUCAUCGUGUUUUCGAUACGUGAAAUGAUUUCCUUGAAGGAUAUUCUUCUGGACACUUGACGGGUUAUAUAUUGGUUGGUGAACGCGAUAUAAACUAGCACUUUCUUUGUAUUUGUUUUUCGUGCCAUUUUAAAAACAACGGUGCGCUGAAACUCGGCUUUUCUUGAUAUACGCCCGUGUAAAAACAACGUUUGAAGAAACUGUUUUUCUAACCUUAUUCUGAAUUUGGUGGCGAGCGAAGCAAACAUUAUUAAAUUCAACGAUUGGGGCGUUUUUUUCGUGCACGAAUUACUUGGCCUAAAUAUCAUUUUGAAAGAGGCCGCUGAUCGCUGUCGGGCGCAUAUCGCCAGAAGAUACCUAGUGCCUAUAUAAUUACGACGACUGCACGAUUUGAAAACGUUCAGCAGAAACCGGCAAUAAUUUGAUUUUUGAACUGAUUAACACCUGGUCAACAAUCAGUACAACGUUUUUUCGUUAUAAAAUUCUUGGACGAGAAAAGCACCGUUACUCACCGCCAUACCACACCCAGCCGAAUACGUGAAAAACACGUUCCGUUAGUCUAAUACGCUCAACCAAAUCUGCAACUUCAUAGUUUAAUUUCCGGCAUAUAAUUAACUCAGGUUAAUUUGUAAUGCAGUUAAAAUGCCGCAAACUAACAGCUCCAGUAGGAAGACAGUCGCGUAAGCGGGCACAUGUCGGUAGUCCUGAUCUCAGCUCCAACACAGUCAUCACAAUUUUAAUCACCCACAAUACAAGCGGACACCUCUCCUAAGUGGAGAUAAUUUUUAAAAAUGCAUAGAACUUUCGUUCUCACAACCAGCAAGGUUAAGUUAUUUUAACAAAAUAUGACUGGGAAUUGAAAAAAAAAACAUAACAAAUAACGAAACAAACAAACAGAACCAAAAACAAAGUACAACAACAAGAAUCUUUGACUUGUCUCCUUACAGCUUCCUUAUACUUCCUGUAAUGCGUGUUGUGAGAAUUUCUUCAUUCAUCAAAGUGAUUAGCUUUGUUUACGCAUCGAUUUCAGACCCAUGACUCUCGCUACCAAUCUCUCUACCGCGUCUCCUCCACGUUUGUUUAACUUGGUACGUGAUAGAAUUUCAUCGUGUUUUCAAUACGUGAAAUGAUUUCCUUGAAGAAUAUUCUUGUGGACUUGACGGUUUAUGUAUUGAUUGGUGAACGCGAUACAAACUAGCACUUUCUUUGAAUUUGUUUUUCGUGCCAUUUUAAAAACAACGGUACGCUGAAACUCGACUUUACUUGAUAUACGCCUGUGAAAAAUGAUGUUUAAAGAAACUAUAUCUUAAUUUUAACCUAGCUUAAUUUGGUGUCGAGCGAAGCAAACACUAUUAAAUUCAAACAUUGCAGCAUUUUUAGUGCACGAAUUACUUCGUCUAAAUGUUAUUUUGAAAGCGGCCGCUGAUCGCUAUUGGGCGCAUAUCGCUAGAACAUAUUUAGUGCCUAUAUACAUGCGAUGAUAGCACUGAAUUAAAAACGUUCCACAGAAAUCGGCAGUAACUUGAUUCUUUGACCUGAUUAACAACUGGUUCAGCACAAGGUUUUUUUUUUUCAGAAAAUCCUUGGACGAGAAAAGCACCGUUAAUCACCUCACCGCGAUACCACACAUAGCAGUGAAAAACAAGUUCCGUUAGGUCUAAUACACUCAACCAAUCUGCAACUUCAUAGUUUAAUUUCCGGCAUAUAAUUAACUCAGGUUAAUUUGAUAUACGCCCGUGUAAAAAUAAUGUUUGAAGAAACUGUAUUUCUAACAUUAUUUAAUUUGGUGGCGAGCGAAGCAAACAUUAUUAUAUUCAAACAUUGCGGCGUUUUUUGGUGCACGAAUUACUUGGCCUAAAUAUUAUUUUGAAAGAGGCCACUGAUUUCUAUCGGGAGCAUAUCGCUAGAAAAUAUGUAGUGCUUAAAGAUGCGAUGAUUGCACUGAUUUAAAAACGUUUCAUAGAAAUAGGCAAUAAUUUGAUUAUUUGACCUGAUUAACAACUGGAUCAGUCCAACGCUGUUUUCUUCAGAAAAUCCUUGGACGAGAAAAGCACCGUUAAUCACUUCACCGCGAUGCCACGCCCAGCGGAAUACGUGAAAAACACGUACCGUUAGAUCUAAUACACUCAACCAAUCUGCUGAACUUCAUAGUUUAAUUUCCGGCAUAUAAUUUCAAACACAUUUCUUCUUAGUUGCAAAUUGACCCCCUUUGAAAAAAAAUUCACGAACGUUAACCUACAACUACAUAACUUCCGACUUUCAUUCAUUCGCUAAUAUAUCACCGCUACUUACUGCUUCGAUGCUUGUCUAUCGUAAGUUAACAUUCUUUCACGCCUGUUCCGCAGCAAAUCAUAGGUAACAAUUUAUAAUCCAAAAUGAUGAAUAACACCAUGAAUACCGAGGAAUAAUAAUUGUGUCUUAACGCCUGAGAACACAACCCAAGGAGACCCCUAAACUUUAAGUGAAGAGCGCGCAGUUGCUGUCAGUCAUUGGGUGACAGCAUGUCUGUCUGGGGAUUUUCAAGAUGCUACAGAAGCAAGGCAAAACAGCAUGACAGAAAAAGAAACGAAAAAGGAGCCCAUAAAAAUACACGCUAACUUGUUAUAAAUCAAACGAUUUUAAAGAACCUUAACACAGAUUUCUGCAUUGCGGAGCUAUAUUUCUAAUAACCGGUCCCUACCGGCCACUUUAAGUUGGAUCGCGUAACUUGAAAAUGCCUCGUUUUAAAAUCACUUAACUUUUUGUUUUGUUGAUUAGUAAUGCAGUUAAAAUUGCCGCAAACUAACAGCUCAACUAGGAGGUCAGUCGCGCAACUGGGCACGUAUCAGUAGUCCUAACUCUAGUCUGGUCAGCCGAAACGUUGUUGUGUCAGCCUUGCAGUAGUCUAUGACUUCUCAUCGUUUUACUUUUCAAGUUUGCCUAGUUAGAUCUCCUGUGAGUCCCAGCGUUCAAUUAAGGAUCUUUGCUCACGGCUUUGCAGCUUAUUUCGUUUCAGUUAUAUAGUCAUCACAAUUUUAAUCACCCACAAUACAAGCGGACAUGGACUUACUCCUCUUCUAUUUGAAGAUAUUUUUAGAAACUGUAUAGAACUCUCGUUCUCACAACGUGCAAGGUUAUUAUAACAGAAUGUGACUGUAAAGAAAAAAGUAAAGAAAGAAACAACCAGACAAAAGAUAAAUUAAAGUACAAAAACAACGAAAUCGACAACCAAAACAAUAAGCUAACCAUUAGAGCUUUUUAACUGAUUGUUCUCGUGGUUUACAUGCAAAACCCUUAACUUCUUAGAAUCUUUAUCCUGAACAUCUACCUUCGAGUUUCAGCCUAAAAUGUCCCCUUACGGCUUACCUAUACUUCCUGUAUUACGUGUUGUGAGAAUUUCAAAACUCAUCAAAAUGAUUUGCUUUGUCUGCACAUCGAUUUCAUACCCAUGUCUCUCUCUAUCAACCCCUCUACCAACGUCUGAACCAGGCCUGCUGGUACGUGAUAGAAUUUCAUCGUGUUUUCGAUACGUGAAAUGAUUUCCUUGAAGAAUAUUCUUGUGGACUUGACGGUUUAAAUAUUGGUUGGUGAACGCGAUACAAACUAGCACUUUCUUUGAAUUUGUUUUCGUGCCAAAUUAAAAACAACAGUCCGCUGAAACUCGGCUUUACUUGAUAUACGCCCGUGUAAAAAUAAUGUUGAAGAAACUGUAUCUUAAUUUCAACCUUAAUUUGGUGGCGAACGAAGCAAACAUUGUUAUAUUCAAACAAUGCGGCGUUUUUUCGAGCACGAAUUACUUAGCUUAAAUAUUAUUUUGAAAGAGGCCGCUGAUCGCUAUCGGGCGCAUAUCGCUUGAACAUAUCUAGUGAUUACAUAGAUGCAAUGAUUGCACUGAUUUGAAAAAGUUCCAUAGACAUCGGCAGUAGCUUGAUCCUUUGACUUGAUCAACAACUGAAUCAGUAAAACGAUUUUGUACAACCCUUGGACGAGAAAAGCACCGUUAAUCACUUCACUGCGAUACCACACCCAGCAGAAUACGAGAAAAUACACGAACCGUUAGAUCUGAUACACUCAACCAAUCUCCUGAACUUCAUAGUUUAAUUUCCGGCAUAUAAUUUCUUCUUAGUUGUUAAAAUAUUCAUGAACGUUAACCCAGAACUACGUAACUCCCGACUUCCAAGAAUCUUUGUCUUGUCUCCUUACAGCUUCCUUAUACUUUCUGUACUAGGUGUUCUGAGAAUUUCAUCGCUCAUCAAAAUUAUUUGCCUAUGGAGAUUUAAGAUGCUGAUCUGAAUUCAUCACAACAGAUUUUGACUAGCCAUUACUCCAAAAUACUUUUUGGGAGGAUGUAUGGAUAAAAAUCCUUCUGAAAUGAGAAAUUCAAUUGGGAAUGGAGUUUAAACUAAAAGGCGAACAGUUACCAAUAAACAAGGGACUAGAUCAUCGCAGUGAUUAAAAUUGUCUUUGAUGUAACUGUUCAGUAGAUUUUAACGUCUAAUUUGAACGUAUUUUUCCGGGUUUCUUUCCAUUUUAAGACUAUUCUGUAUGUUAGAGUCACACCAAACCGCCUAAACUAUCUCGACCUAGCCCUUCGAAAAGGCCUCGAGAUACAGGUUCUCCCAGCCAGUUGUAAGAUAUUAAGGGGUGAAACAGAAUCAACACAAGAAUUAAUGUUGAAACAUAUAUUUCUUUUAUUUACAUCCAAUGAUGUCGGUUUUUCUCACCAAAUUAUGCGACAUUAAAAAGUCGCGUACAAAAUUGUAAAAAAUAUUAUAAAUUAUCUAUUUCGUUUUCUUUCACAAUUGAUAAAGAUCUCCGCAUAAGCAAAUAUACAAUAUUAUUUAUAAGACGUUUCUUGUGUCAUAAAUAUUUUAUGCAGUUUGCAUCUCUUAAAAUAUACAGUCGCUGCCUUCAACAUCAACGAAAAUGUAAUGUACUAACUAGAAAAGUACCUAAAAGACCUCUAAUUCGUUAUUUACAGUAACUGUACAGAGAAACCGUCUGGUAACGUUUUAAAAGGUGUUUUUGGAAAGCAGUCUUUGUAACAAAACCAUGUUUCAACUCUUAAAUCGGCAACAACAACAGAAAAGCUUCUCCGAAAAAAUUGUCUAUAAAGAUUUUUCACGUUUGUGUUAAAAAUAGAGAGCGAAUCCCUAAAGGUUGUUUAGAAAAUAUUCGCGUUCAGAAACGAAUUACAAGCUUCUGUAUUUUCCUUUUUUUU